GUACCCGUAGCUCAGUUGGAUUAGAGCGGUUGACUACGGAUCAACAGGUCGGGGGUUCGAGUCCCUCCGGGUACG
rnacentral:tRNA from 1 species